rnacentral:miRNA from 1 species
UGAGUGGAUGGAUGGAGGCGAG